GACGAACGCUGGCGGCGUGCUUAACACAUGCAAGUCGAACGAUGAAGCUGGAGCUUGCUCCGGUGGAUUAGUGGCGAACGGGUGAGUAACACGUGAGCAAUCUGCCCUUGACUCUGGGAUAACUGCGGGACACUGCAGCUAAUACCGGAUACUUUCACUGGAAGGCAUCUUCUAGUGAAGAAAGAAUUUCGGUCAAGGAUGAGCUCGCGGGCUAUCAGCUGGUUGGGAGGGUAACGGCUAACCAAGGCGACGCCGGGUAGCCGGCCUGAGAGGGUGACCGGCCACACUGGGACUGAGACACGGCCCAGACUCCUACGGGAGGCAGCAGUGGGGAAUAUUGCACAAUGGGCGCAAGCCUGAUGCAGCAACGCCGCGUGAGGGAUGAAGGCCUUCGGGUUGUAAACCUCUUUUAGCAGGGAAGAAGCGAAAGUGACGGUACCUGCAGAAAAAGCACCGGCUAACUACGUGCCAGCCGCCGCCGUAA
rnacentral:rRNA from 1 species